UGAAAAUGCCUCGUGUAAAAGCAGCUCAAGCUGGAAGACAGGGCCCUGCAAAGAGACAUCUUGCAGAACAUUUUGCAGCUGGGGAGAUAAUCACUGACAUGGCAAAAAAGGAAUGGAAACUGGGAUCACCCAUUGGCCAAGGUGGUUUUGGCUGUAUAUAUCUUGCUGAUAUGAAUUCUUCAAAAUCGGUGGGCAGCGAUGCACCCUGUGUUGUAAAAGUGGAACCCAGUGACAAUGGACCUCUUUUUACUGAACUAAAGUUCUACCAGCGAGCUGCCAAACCAGAACAAAUUCAGAAAUGGAUUCGUACCCACAAGCUGAAGUACCUGGGUGUUCCUAAGUAUUGGGGGUCUGGUCUACAUGAUAAAAAUGGAAAAAGUUACAGGUUUAUGAUAAUGGAUCGCUUUGGGAGUGACCUUCAGAAAAUAUAUGAAGCAAAUGCCAAAAGGUUUUCUCGGAAAACUGUCUUGCAGCUAAGCUUAAGAAUUCUGGAUAUUCUGGAGUAUAUUCAUGAGCAUGAAUACGUGCACGGAGAUAUCAAGGCCUCAAAUCUUCUUCUCAGCUACAAGAAUCCUGACCAGGUGUACUUGGUAGAUUAUGGCCUUGCUUAUCGGUACUGCCCAGAAGGGAUUCACAAAGAAUACAAAGAAGACCCCAAAAGAUGUCACGAUGGCACGAUUGAAUUCACCAGCAUCGACGCGCACAAUGGUGUGGCCCCCUCAAGACGUGGUGAUUUGGAAAUCCUUGGCUAUUGCAUGAUCCAGUGGCUUAGUGGCCAUCUUCCUUGGGAGGAUAAUUUGAAAGAUCCUAACUAUGUUAGAGAUUCCAAAAUUAGAUACAGAGAAAACAUUGCAGGUUUGAUGGACAAAUGUUUUCCCGAGAAAAACAAGCCAGAUGAAAUUGCUAAAUACAUGGAAACAGUGAAAUUACUGGACUAUGCUGAAAAACCUCUUUAUCAGAAGUUACGAGAUAUUCUUUUGCAAGGACUAAAAGCUGUAGGAAGUAAGGACGAUGGCAAACUGGACCUCAGUGUUGUGGAGAAUGGAGGUUUGAAAACAAAAACAAAAGCAAAGCAUGUAGCUGUAACUGUAUAUGUUGGGUCUGUUUCUGGAUACGCUAUUCUGUGCCACUGACCUGCUCACCCAUCCAUCAAUGCCACAUUGUUUGAACUACUGGCUUCAUAGUGAUAUUUGACAGUAAGAGAAAGAAAGAAAUUGAGGAAAGCACGGAAUCUAGUGUUGAAGAUAUGGAGUGCUCAGAUACACGGACAGAAGAGGCCACACAAACCCGUUCGAAAACCAGAAAGAGAGUCCAGAAGUAAAUCAAAUGCUGUGAACCAGUUUUUCUUUUCUUCCUUUCAUUUGACCUUUUCCUCUUUUUCUUUAUUAAGUGUCUUCUUUUCAUGUGAGUCUUGUUGGGAGGGAGAUAGCAGUAAAGUACCUAUGUCUUUGAAAAACAAACUUUUUAAAUUAAAAUACUUUGUACAUUUUAUUAAAGCCUAAUUUAUAAAAGUUUGCAGUCUUAAGGUUAUACCCUGUAAGCUGUUCCAUGCUUUGUGUGUUUGAGGUUCUGGAGUACAUGUAAGGAAAAUUACUAUGACAUGCACUUUUCUAAUCAUUGUAUAUUUUCCAGAGUGUAUACAAUCUGGCAAAAUCCUUACUUUUAAGGAAACACACAACUUAAAAUAAAGGUCUCCUUUUGCUUAAUACAAAUACACAAUUUUUUGUGGCCAUAAGAUUUGGUUUGUAUUGACUUUAUUCAAUGCCGCAAGCAUUUAUUAAGUACCUGCUGUAUGAAAUGAGGAGUACAAAGAUGGGAAAAGAUUAUGAAGGAAAAAAAUGGAGCAGUAAGUACAUCUGUGAGAGAUGAAAUAUAUGUAUUUGAAAGAUUAUAUGAGAAUUAUGUAAGUAUGUAAACUGUAUGGUAAGAAAUCAGGCAGUUAAAUCCAGUGGUGGCAUGAUCAAAGAUUUUAUAGACUGGUUUCCUUUAAGGAUAUCGUGUCAAAUAAAUAUAUAUAUAUGGCU